GUAGUCUGCAACUCGACUACAUGAAGCUGGAAUCGCUAGUAAUCGCAGAUCAGAAUGCUGCGGUGAAUACGUUCCCGGGUCUUGUACACACCGCCCGUCACACCAUGGGAGUUGGGAAUGCCCGAAGUCAGUGACCCAACCGUAAGGAGGGAGCUGCCGAAGGCAGAUUCGAUAACUGGGGUGAAGUCGUAACAAGGUAAC
rnacentral:rRNA from 1 species